rnacentral:rRNA from 1 species
UACGUAGGGCGCAAGCGUUGUCCGGAAUUAUUGGGCGUAAAGAGCUCGUAGGCGGUUUGUCGCGUCUGCUGUGAAAACCUAAGGCUCAACCUUGGGCUUGCAGUGGGUACGGGCAGACUAGAGUGCGGUAGGGGUGACUGGAAUUCCUGGUGUAGCGGUGGAAUGCGCAGAUAUCAGGAAGAACACCCGUGGCGAAGGCGGCUCUCUGGUAC